GACAAUGUUAGUGGAAAAGUCGACUAUGCCCAAAUGGAAAACACGGGCCAGCCAGAGAUCGUUCACCUCACAGUCCUAGCAGAUAUCCGACUGACCCCACCCGAGGUCCUGGAGAUGUCAGUCACCGAGGG